ACAACGCAUCUGCUACUUCCGGAAUCAACUGAGGAAUGCACAUAAAAUGGCCCCUAUCUCUAUGAAACCCUCAGUUUCCCCCAAAAUCCCUACCAUGGCCCUAGCUUCCAGUGUUCGCCUUUCUUCCUCCAUCCUCCGCUACCGCCUCGCUGCCCCACUCUACCCGACCCGAUUUUCCAGUCUCCGUACCUGUCGGAGCUCCGCUUCCUGUCCGCAUCGUCCUCCCGUCCCGGGACCCACAUCCGCCCAAUCAAAGCGAGGCUCCAGGACGACCCCCAAAAGGAGGACCCAGGCGAGGGGCAGAACGGGAAUGGAAGUGUGCUGGUCAAGGACACAAGUGAGAACAGCGAAGAAAGAAUCGUUCGUGUUGAGCUCCACAAGUAGGCCACUGAAGCGUACAUGGCUAUGUCUGUCCUGCUCGGCCGCGCCCUGCUGGAUGUUCGCGACGGUUUGAAGCGGGUGCACCGUCGUAUUUACUAAGGUUGAAUGGUGAAUGAUGUGGGAGCACUACCUGGCUGGAUUUACUAGGUUGAUGAAAACAGCGACAGCGACUCUACGUAGAUUUUCUUUGCGAUUAGCCUUGAAGCCCUGACAGACAUAACCACGCUAAACCAGUCCAGAUUCUUCAAAGGGAUUUGAAAACGCUCUUGACAUUCGGUGAUGAGUUUUUUGAUGAAGUAUCAUCACUGUUUCUGCCGAUGGUCAUUUACAGGAUUUCUCCCUACGAUUCCCACUAAUUCAAGGGCAUGGGAAUUUCGGGUCGAUUGAUGCUGAUCCUGCAGCUGCCAUGCGUUACACAGAGUGCAUAUUGGAGUAUUCAUAAUGGGCAACCUAAGCAGAUGGGUCUAAAGGAGUUGCUGCAGCAGAUUCUAAACACGCGUCCAAAGGAUCAAGAGCUCUGGGGACAUCAGAUCAGAUUAUGGUAUUAAAGUAUUGGAAAAUGCCGAAGGUGAACUGGUGCGUUCACUUGAGAAUCGUUGAGUUUCAGCAAGUGAGGAUGGUAUUAAGGUACUUGAAAAAACAUUCACUUGAGAAUCAUGAAGUUUUUGCCUUUGGGCUGUCUUCCUGAAGUGUUGGGAAGGUAAAAUUGUUGCAUCAGAUUUAUCAAGCGACUCAAAUUUACUAAGUGAUUAGAAAUGUUAACUAAAAAAAUUAUGUUGCAAGAAUCUAUAAUUGACACAUUUAGUACUUCCAAUUCUGCCCAUGAAACAAACAACGAAGUGCUCAAAAUCGAGGUUUUAGUAGUAAAGGAGUAUGAUACCUUGCGUUAAGUAAGGGAAGUUCUUUCGAGAGCCAUGUUGGACUUGGGUUCGUUGGAAACAAGGCUAGCAUUUCAUUAUUCAUACGAAGAUACCCCUUUCAUGGUAUCUUGUGAUGCACUUGAGCAUCCUAACAUGAUCGUUAUGGACCACAGCUUUGUUGUUUAGUUAGGUUAGGUAAAAUCAAGAUACAUGUGGACGGAUGACGUGGGAAGAAGUGAGGACCGGAGGUUGGUGUGAUGGUGGUUACAGUGGUGUGAGCUGGUCAUGUAGAGGACGAAGAACUGUAGGCUUUGAGGGAACAAUGGAAAUAAGGUGGCAAAAUAGCUUUUCCUUUUCUUGGGCUGAUUGAUGUUGUGUUCUUAGGGGAGUAACACGAUGAUCUAGAAGAGAUUGCCUCUUUACUUUGGAGCUGCUUUGACUUUGCAAAAGGGAGGAAAGACAGAGUCUAUUUAGGAACUGCUCGGUCGCACAAAAGAGAGGAGGGACUUGACCUUUCAUGUUUCCUAGCUGCCUAUACAGAAAUCUCAAUAUUAGAGGAGGACUAACUGCUGAGAGUAGUACUUAAUUGUGCUUGGGCAAGAAGAAAACAGAGUCAAAGCAUCUCCAAAGUAGAGGGGCAAUAUCUUCUAGAUCAUCGUGUUACUCUCCUAAGAACACAGCAUUAAUCAGCCCAAGAAAAGGAGAAGCUAUUUUGCCACCUUAUUUCCAUUGUUCCCUCAAAGCCUUCAGUUCUUCGUCCUCUACAUGACCAGCCCACACCACUGUAACCACCGUCACACCAACCUCCGGUCCCUACUUCUUCCCACGUCAUUCGUUCACAUGUAUCUUGAUUUUACCUAACCUAACUGAACAACAGAACUGUGGUCCAUAACGAUCAUGUUAGGAUGCUCAAGUGCAUUACAAGAUACUAUGAAAGUGGUAUCUUCGUAUGAAUAAUGAAAUUCUAGCCUUGUUUCCAACAAAUCCAAGUCCAACAUGGCUCUCGGAAAAGCUUCCCUUAUUUAACACAAAGUAUCAUACUACUAAAACCUCGAUUUUGAGCACUUCGUUGUUGUUUUAUAGGCAGAAUUGGAAGUACUAAAUGUGCCAAUUAUGGAUUCUUUUAACAUAAUUUUUUUUAGUUAACAACCUUUCUAAUCACUUAGUAAAUUUGAGUCUCUUGAUAAAUCUAAUGCAACAAUUUUACCUUCCCAACAGUUCAAGAAGACAGCCCAAAGGCAAAAACUCCAUGAUUCUCAAGUGAAUGUAGUGGUUGAACACCUUCGGCAUUUUCCAGUACCUUAAUACCAUCCUCACUUGCUGAAACUGCUAGCAUUCUUCCUUCCUUUUUAAAUUGUAAACAAUGAGAAUCCUAACACAGAUAUUAAAUCAAGUGUUCUGUGAACUCUAACAUUAACCUCGAAAUAUAUAACAGUGAACGUGAUGACCAAAGGUA